GAUGAACGCUGGCGGCGUGCCUAAUACAUGCAAGUCGAGCGAACAGACGAGGAGCUUGCUCCUCUGACGUUAGCGGCGGACGGGUGAGUAACACGUGGAUAACCUACCUAUAAGACUGGGAUAACUUCGGGAAACCGGAGCUAAUACCGGAUAAUAUAUUGAACCGCAUGGUUCAAUAGUGAAAGACGGUUUUGCUGUCACUUAUAGAUGGAUCCGCGCCGCAUUAGCUAGUUGGUAAGGUAACGGCUUACCAAGGCAACGAUGCGUAGCCGACCUGAGAGGGUGAUCGGCCACACUGGAACUGAGACACGGUCCAGACUCCUACGGGAGGCAGCAGUAGGGAAUCUUCCGCAAUGGGCGAAAGCUUGACGGAGCAACGCCGCGUGGGUGAUGAAGGUCUUCGGAUCGUAAAACUCUGUUAUUAGGGAAGAACAAAUGUGUAAGUAACUAUGCACGUCUGGACGGUACCUAAUCAGAAAACCACGGCUAACUACGU
rnacentral:rRNA from 1 species